UACGAAGGGGGCUAGCGUUGUUCGGAUUUACUGGGCGUAAAGCGCACGUAGGCGGAUCGUUAAGUCGGGGGUGAAAUCCUGGAGCUCAACUCCAGAACUGCCUUCGAUACUGGCGAUCUUGAGUCCGGAAGAGGUGAGUGGAACUCCUAGUGUAGAGGUGGAAUUCGUAGAUAUUAGGAAGAACACCGGUGGCGAAGGCGGCCUGCUGGGCAGUGGCUGACGCUGAGGCGCGACAGCGUGGGGAGCAAACAGG
rnacentral:rRNA from 1 species